rnacentral:tRNA from 1 species
GGGCGGAUGGCGCAGUGGUAGCGCGUCUCGUUUACACCGAGGUGGUCGGGGGUUCGAAUCCCUCUCCGCCCACCA